GUAACAUUGGUGACUUGGUCAUGUGAUGCUGUGAGGUGGAGCUUCAUGAACAUUUAUGAUGCUACAGAGUGCAGAAAGUUCAGUAUAGUUUCAUUCAGCUAAGAGCUUUUAUCAUGUUCACUAUCAUUUUCAUGUGUCUGUGGCUUUCAAUAGGUGACUCCAUGGCGGAUUCAAUAAAGUCACUUCUCACUCAUAAAGUUGUAGAUGAAGGUGAUGAUGUUACUCUGUCCUGCAGCUACAAAGACUUUAGUGAUACUGUAAAGAAUCUGCAGUGGUACAAACAAGAUCCAAAAUCUAAUCCUGAGUUCAUUCUUUAUAUUUAUGAAAGUGGAGCUUUAAGUCCCAACAUCCCACCAAGAACGAGUGCUAAAGUUCAUGGAAAUAAACAAGUGGAUCUGCACAUCUCCUCUGCUGCUGUAUCAGACUCUGCACUGUACUACUGCGCUCUGACGCCCACAGUGACAGGAAACCCAACUCCACUGUACAAAAAGCACUACACAUGACUGCAGCAGAUUCAUGCUUUUCUCACUAGAUGGAGCUGUUUACAUGUUUACAUUCACUUCCAUGAUAUCGACUACACCUGUUCUUCUGUCAUACACAAUGUUUAUGUGUUAUCCGAACUCCUGCUCUGGUUUUUCUUAGUAACGAGCCUCAGCUGUAAUCUACACACUGUCAGCUUGA